AAACGAUGAUACCGAUAAACCGUAUCAAUGCUGCGUAACGGAGCAAAUAAAGGCGAGCAACAUAUCGCGCGCGUUGCUGCUUUAGGUAACACGCGUGAACACGCGUGCGGACGCGAUUAAGGCCAACGUUAAAUGUUCACCGUCCUUACACGUACGGUUACUUUUAUGCGAAACUGAAGUUCAAACUGGAACACAUGCCCACUGCGCGGGAACUUGUAAUCGCAGAAUUCUCAUUAGUCACGGAUCACCGAUGCUGCAACCUUGGUAUGCGUGGCAAGCGGCGGCACAGGUGUUACCGUGAUAUAACAUCGUUUCCUUCGGCGCUGAGGCCUACGAUUGACUUACGAAAUGGUUAAUUAAGUUCUAAUGUGAAGAAAUCAGUCGACAUCACCAAGACCGUGUACCGAAGCCACAUAUUAUUCGCCGGCCGGACCGAUGUACGUACACGUGGGGAUUUUUUAUGGGAAACCUCGGAUGCAUUGUAUUCGCGAUGAAUGAUGGCGCAUUGUGCUAUCAAUGAAACGGGGAAAAAUACUGUUCGACGUGAUUCGCCGCUCGAACUGUCUGUUGUACAAUCUUCGUACCCGCGGACUUCGCGCAUUCGUGACAAAAUGGGAUGGAUGAAAUGCGAAACGGUGAGAAUGUUCGAAGAAUUCGAGAUCGUGUCAUUAUCAUAGCGAACUUCAGCACGAUGUCACGGGUCACAACGCAUCGGGCAAUUGUCAUGAUUUUUGUCACAAAGUGUUCUCAUCGCAAAAUUGCUUUAAACUGGAACAGGAGAAAAGUAUUCGUUUAAAAGGCGUUAACGCGUUUCUGGGGAUUUUGAACAGGACAAUGAAAUCUGCCAUAAUAUUGCUUCAACAGAUGCGCCAUAAUACAGCGCAGAAUUAUUAUCGUCGGAAGUAAACGGGAAUGAUGAAUGCAUAUUUAAUGAUUUAGUGUAAUCAUCAUAAUUCGUUGAUUUUUAUAAUCGAUAACUACCGUCGAAUUUUAUUCGUACUUGUAUUGAAAUGACGAUCUACGUAAAUAAUUAUACUCAUCCAAUGAUAAA